rnacentral:rRNA from 1 species
GACAGAGGGUGCAAACGUUGUUCGGAAUUACUGGGCGUAAAGCGUGUGUAGGUGGCUGCGAAAGUCGGAUGUGAAAGCCCUGGGCUCAACUCAGGAAGUGCACCCGAUACUGCGUGGCUCGAGUACCGGAGAGGUUGGUAGAAUUCUCGGUGUAGAGGUGAAAUUCGUAGAUAUCGAGAGGAAUACCUGUGGCGAAGGCGGCCAACUGGACGAGUACUGACACUGAGACACGAAAGCGUGGGGAGCAAACAGG